rnacentral:rRNA from 1 species
UUGGAUCGUGUUAUAAAUGCUCUAGCUAAACCUAUUGAUGCGAGAGGCGAAAUUGUAGCUCCCGAAUCUCGCUUAAUUGAAUCUCCUGCUCCAAGUAGAUUUUCCAGGCGUUCCAUAUACAAACCUCUUCAAACAGGGCUUAUUGCUAUCGAUUCGAUGAUCUCUAUAGGGUGCGAUCAGCGAGAGUUCAUUAUUGGGGACAGACAGACUGGCAAAACAGCAGUAGCCACAAAUACAAUUCUCAAGAAAAAAGGGCAAAAGCAAUUUAACCAUUCUGUGGGUAAAUCAAAAGCGCCACUGGAAUAUUUUUCACUACCCCAAUAA